CUUGCCAAGUUUUACAUGCAGAUCUUCUGUUGUUUCUAGUGCUGCUGAAUAAUUCUUCCUGUUUCUCUAGCUUCUUGUCUAUGGAUGAGAAUCUUGGUGAACAGUAAAAUGUGCUGCUGUCUAAAGCCCUGAUCCUUCCAGGUUCAAUUAAGAAACCACCUUCUUUCUAUUCCCCUUCUUAGGGCUUUCUUCAUAAUCACCCUUGCAGCAGUGCACAAGACAGAAUUCUGGGCUAUAUGGAUUGACCUCCAGGCUGGCUUUUCAUGGGUCCUCUGCCAUUCUUAAUUCAGCUGGAGUCCAUGUAUCAGCUCUGCACCUCUGCACAAGGUCACUAUGCAAGACAGGGACAGACAGCAGCAACAACUUCCUGGGAAGUAACCAUUCUGUUCUUCACUGAAUUCUGGCGGCAAAUGCCACCAGAAUUACUUCAGACUCUCUCAGUAACCAUAUUACAAAAGGUA